ensembl:misc_RNA Metazoa_SRP Metazoan signal recognition particle RNA
GCCAGGUGUGGUGGUGAUCGCCUGUAGUCCCAGCUACUCGGGAGGCUGAGAUGGAAGGACCGCUUGAGCCCAGGAGUUUGAGACUGCAGUGAGCUGUGAUCACACCUGUGAAUAGCCAUUGCUCUCCAACCUGGGCAACAUAGUGAGACUCUGUCUCUU